rnacentral:rRNA from 1 species
GAUGAACGCUGGCGGCGUGCCUAAUACAUGCAAGUCGAGCGAACAGACGAGGAGCUUGCUCCUUUGACGUUAGCGGCGGACGGGUGAGUAACACGUGGGUAACCUACCUAUAAGACUGGGAUAACUUCGGGAAACCGGAGCUAAUACCGGAUAAUAUUUCGAACCGCAUGGUUCGAUAGUGAAAGAUGGCUUUGCUAUCACUUAUAGAUGGACCUGCGCCGUAUUAGCUAGUUGGUAAGGUAACGGCUUACCAAGGCAACGAUGCGUAGCCGACCUGAGAGGGUGAUCGGCCACACUGGAACUGAGACACGGUCCAGACUCCUACGGGAGGCAGCAGUAGGGAAUCUUCCGCAAUGGGCGAAAGCCUGACGGAGCAACGCCGCGUGAGUGAUGAAGGUCUUCGGAUCGUAAAACUCUGUUAUUAGGGAAGAACAAACGUGUAAGUAACUGUGCACGUCUUGACGGUACCUAAUCAGAAAGCCACGGCUAACUACGUG